rnacentral:rRNA from 1 species
UACGUAGGGUGCGAGCGUUAAUCGGAAUUACUGGGCGUAAAGUGUGCGCAGGCGGCGCCGCAAGUCGAGUGUGAAAGCCCCGAGCUUAACUUGGGAAUUGCGCUCGAAACUAUGGUGCUGGAGUGUGGCAGAGGAAGGUGGAAUUCCACGUGUAGCGGUGAAAUGCGUAGAUAUCAGGAGGAACACCGGUGGCGAAGGCGGCCCUCUGGACGGAUACUGACGCUGAGGCGCGAAAGCGUGGGGAUCAAACAGG